rnacentral:misc_RNA from 1 species
AACGCACAUUGCGCCCCUUGGUAUUCCGAGGGGCAUGCCUGUUCGAGCGUCAUUAUAACCACUCAAGCCUAGCUUGGUAUUGAGGUUCGCGGUUCCGCGGCCUCUAAAAUCAGUGGCGGUGCCGUCUGGCUUCAAGCGUAGUAAUUUUCUCGCUACGGAGUCUAGGUGGUUGCUUGCCAAAACCUCAACUUCUCAAGGUUGACCUCGGAUCAGGUAGGGAUACCCGCUGAACUUAA